CUUAGUAAGAGUCUGUGCUGCCAUAUAUGAAUGAUAUCGCAUAUGAAUCAUAUCAUAUCAUAUGAUAUUCAUAUAUGACUAUGAAAACUGUUACUGGCAGUUUUAACCAGAACUACACAGGCAUAGCCAGCUCACGAGGCAUACUAACAAAGUUAGCCACUGGGAGAGCCGCUGGGGGACUGUGGAGCAGAUUUAGGAGUAUUAAAUCCUAGGGAACAAAAUCGUGGCCAUUGAACGUCAUCUGUCAGCAUCUUAACUGUUGCAUCACACACACUUACAAGACCUGUUUGUUUUACUGUCAUCAGAGUGCUGCUUUGUCACAUUGCAGCUUGCAGAAUCAGGACAUACAGUUACUGGAAGUAACUGACAGUUAUUUAAGGUUAAGCCACAAAACCCUCUACUACAUUUCAUACUCCAAAAAGGUGAGGAAUGGGAACGAGGAGCUCAUUGCAAAGGUAUGUACCGCUGUCUGGUUGUUUUUUUCAGUACCAGCCAGUCUUAUCAUAGUCCCUGUUCAACAAAUGUGAAGCUGCUGUCUCAGGCAGUUGCAUGGUGUUUUAUAGAUGCUGGAAUGUGCCGUGCCACUGGCAUCACCUGAGGCAGAGGGAUCCAGAUAGAUCUGAGCACUGCGCAAUCAGCAGCAGCAUGAAGUUCAACAAAGAUAACACUACAAAAGCCAAAGCCUGGAAAUGGGGAUGAAGGUGUGAUUCCGCAUUGCUGGAUUCACCUACUUGACACCAGUUUGCUUUGCUGCUCCUUCUGGGUACUGAGCCCCGGCUGGCUUACUUACACAGAGUGCUGAUGUUACAGUAUGACUCAGCAAACUACAGCUGAUGGAACAACUCAGAUCUGAGCUAAUAACUGGGUAUUUGAUUUUGAAGUCCUAUUCAAG
ensembl:lncRNA